rnacentral:lncRNA from 1 species
GUACACUCAUCAGAAGAACAGAUUUUGACAAGGUGCUUUGAUACACAAUGCUUUUGGUUAGUGAUGACCUGAAUGAAACAGUUUUCAGAUUCCUCUGUAGUCUGAUUUGUUAAACCUUGCUUGUUCCCCACGUGUUCUGUUUGACUUUACAGAUGUUUGAUCUGCCUUUUUUCUCUUUGUUUUUAGUUUUCCAUAUGGUUUCUUCAAACUCCUUUUUGAUUCGUCAUACUGAAUACCUACCCACCACCCCCAUAUUCACUAGAUUUUCAGAAUAAUUCAAGAAAGGAUGAUUUCAAAUGCACAGUUCCACUCUAAAGACACCAAGAGCCUGUUGAUGAACUCUUCAGUACAGUGUCUUCAGAGCAGCAAUAUCUGUGAAGUGACAGGAAAAACAAGCAUAAAGGAUAGAAACUGGAGGUGGGUUUUUUUGUUUGUUUGGUUGGUUGGUUGGUUUUGGUUUUGGUUUUGUUUUUUUGGGGGUGGGUGUGUGUUUUUUGUUGUUGUUUUUUUUUGUGUGUGUGUUUGUUUGUUUUAAUUUAAUGCAGUUUGAUAUUCCUAAACAGAAGGUUUUAAAACUCCAGUUUGCUAUUAAAUUUUCUGUGCACAUCUUCUUACCAGUCUUACCAGUCAUGGUCAUUCUGUUUUCAAGGAAAACACUUUGUGAAGGACCCUUAAAGGGGUACAUGCCACAUCCCCUGCAUCUGUAACUGUUUUUGACAAUAUGUCAUCCCCUGCCCUUACAGUUCCAAAUG